rnacentral:rRNA from 1 species
ACAUGCCUACAACAUAAUGUUAAUGCAUUGGAUCCCAUUAGAACUCCAUCGUUAAGCAUGCUCAGGAUAGAGUAGUACUGGGAUGGGUGACCGCCUGGGAAGUCCUAGUGUUUUACAUGCC